AUCAGGGGUUCCUAAUGUUUUGUACACUCAGUGUAUAUACACAGACAGGGGGGUCUGAAGUUAUUGACACCGUUGACAAAGAUCAGCAAUAGUGACUGUAUAAAACCACUGACCAAUAACAGGGGAGGUUAGCAUGUCUUGGGGAUAUGAUCUUUGUUCCUCACCAUUACCAAUAACAGGGGAGGUUAGCAUGUCUUGGGGAUAUGAUCUUUGUUCCUCACCAUUACCAAUAACAGGGGAGGUUAGCAUGUCUUGGGGAUAUGAUCUUUGUUCCUCACCAUUACCAAUAACAGGGGAGGUUAGCAUGUCUUGGGGAUAUGAUCUUUGUUCCUCACCAUUACCAAUAACAGGGGAGGUUAGCAUGUCUUGGGGAUAUGAUCUUUGUUCCUCACCAUUACCAAUAACAGGGGAGGUUAGCAUGUCUUGGGGAUAUGAUCUUUGUUCCUCACCAUUACCAAUAACAGGGGAGGUUAGCAUGUCUUGGGGAUAUGAUCUUUGUUCCUCACCAUUACCAAUAACAGGGGAGGUUAGCAUGUCUUGGGGAUAUGAUCUUUGUUCCUCACCAUUACCAAUAACAGGGGAGGUUAGCAUGUCUUGGGGAUAUGAUCUUUGUUCCUCACCAUUACCAAUAACAGGGGAGGUUAGCAUGUCUUGGGGAUAUGAUCUUUGUUCCUCACCAUUACCAAUAACAGGGGAGGUUAGCAUGUCUUGGGGAUAUGAUCUUUGUUCCUCACCAUUACCAAUAACAGGGGAGGUUAGCAUGUCUUGGGGAUAUGAUCUUUGUUCCUCACCAUUACCAAUAACAGGGGAGGUUAGCAUGUCUUGGGGAUAUGAUCUUUGUUCCUCACCAUUACCAAUAACAGGGGAGGUUAGCAUGUCUUGGGGAUAUGAUCUUUGUUCCUCACCAUUACCAAUAACA